AUUGAACGCUGGCGGCAGGCCUAACACAUGCAAGUCGAACGAGUGGCGGACGGGUGAGUAAUGUCUGGGAAACUGCCCGAUGGAGGGGGAUAACUACUGGAAACGGUAGCUAAUACCGCAUACCAUCGGAUGUGCCCAGAUGGGAUUAGCUAGUAGGUGGGGUAACGGCUCACCUAGGCGACGAUCCCUAGCUGGGCUGCGAGGAUGACCAGCCACACCUGAACUGAGACACCGUCCAGACUCCUACGGUAGGCAGCAGUGGGGAAUAUUGCACCAUGGGCGCAAGCCUGACUCAGCCAUGCCGGGUGUAUUGAAAAGGGCUUUGGGUUGUAAAGUUAUUUCAGCGGGGAGGAGUUACCCGCAGAAGAAGCACCGGCUAACUCCGGGCCAGCCGCCGAGGUAAUUC
rnacentral:rRNA from 1 species